rnacentral:lncRNA from 1 species
CUCCCCUAGCAACUGAGAAAUCAGGACAUCUUUCUCUACAGGCAAGAAGAGGAAAAUAAUACAUGAGUGACAGAAGAGUACAUACAGUACUCAGCUUUGCCAAGCAGACCAGGAGUUGGAUGUUCUUCUAGAAGACCUGUCCCUAUGGCAGUAGAAGGGGCCUGUUGCUGUCAGCAAAGUUGCUCAAGGAAUGACUUGAGAUGCUUCCUUAUUCCAAAUCUUACCACCAACCCCUCCAAAGACACACGUUCUACCAGCAACAACCUGUGUGGUAUUGUAGAUGAGCUCAUGAAGAUAAAUUGAAAUCCCCCAGGAGGUAAAAUAAUGUCCUUCAGAGUCAUAAAUGACCAAGAGAGACAGCAAAAAAAUGGCUAAAAGAGGGACAGCAAUGCACUGGGUCAAAUAACAAGGAUGCCACUGUCAGACUGACCGGAGAUUCUAACAACUUUCGUGGUUAUUAGCUGAGUGACCUUGAACAACUUACUGAACCUCUCUAACCUUGACUCAUCAUGCAUGAAAUUGGGAUGGUAAUGCCUUUC